CGCCUAACCUUUAUAGAUUUUGUCCUAUGAAGUAUGGUUAAAACCCAUCCCUGGUAUUAAACUCCUCGUCAGACCACUCAGGGAUGGGUCUAUAAUCGAAAGGUUAUAGGAUAGUCGAAAGGCUGUC
rnacentral:sRNA from 1 species